CGGGAUGUAGCGCAGCCCGGUAGCGCGUUUCGUUCGGGACGAAGAGGCCGCUGGUUCGAAUCCAGUCAUCCCGA
rnacentral:tRNA from 1 species